UACAGAGACUGCAAGCGUUAUUCGGAUUCACUGGGCGUAAAGGGUGCGCAGGCGGCCGUGUGUGUGAGGCGUGAAAGCCCGGGGCUUAACCCCGGAAUUGCACCUCAAACUACACGGCUAGAGCAUUGGAGAGGGUAGCAGAAUUCACGGUGUAGCAGUGAAAUGCGUAGAUAUCGUGAGGAAGACCAGUGGCGAAGGCGGGUCUCUGGACAGUUCCUGACGCUGAGGCGCGAAGGCCAGGGGAGCAAACGGG
rnacentral:rRNA from 1 species